rnacentral:rRNA from 1 species
UACGGAGGAUGCGAGCGUUAUCCGGAUUUACUGGGUGUAAAGGGAGCGUAGACGGCGAUGCAAGUCUGAAGUGAAAGGCGGGGGCCCAACCCCCGGACUGCUCUGGAAACUAUGUUACUGGAGUGCAGGAGAGGUAAGCGGAAUUCCUAGUGUAGCGGUGAAAUGCUUAGAGAUCAUACAGAACACCGAUUGCGAAGGCAGCUUACCAAGCUACUUCUGACGUUGAGGCACGAAAGCGUGGGGAGCAAAAAGG